rnacentral:rRNA from 1 species
UACGGAAGCAGCAGUGGGGAAUAUUGCACAAUGGGCGCAAGCCUGAUGCAGCCAUGCCGCGUGUAUGAAAAAGGCCUUCGGGUUGUAAAGUACUUUCAGUCGUGAGGAAGGUGUUAAGGUUAAUAACCUUAGCAAUUGACGUUAGCGACAGAAGAAGCACCGGCUAACUCCGUGCCAGCAGCCGCGGUAAUACGGAGGGUGCGAGCGUUAAUCGGAAUUACUGGGCGUAAAGGGCACGCAGGCGGUUAAUUAAGUUGGAUGUGAAAUCCCCGGGCUUAACCUGGGAAUGGCAUUCAAGACUGGUUAGCUAGAGUCUUGUAGAGGGGGUAGAAUUCCAUGUGUAGCGGUGAAAUGCGUAGAGAUGUGGAGGAAUACCGGUGGCGAAGGCGGCCCCUGGACAAAGACUGACGCUCAUGUGCGAAAGCGUGGGGAGCGAAACAGGGAUUAGAUACC